UACGAAGGGAGCUAGCGUUGUUCGGAAUCACUGGGCGUAAAGCGCACGUAGGCGGAUGUGUCAGUCAGGGGUGAAAUCUCCGAGCUUAACUCGGAAAGGUCAACUGAUACUGCGGGGCUAGAGUGCGGAAGGGGCAACUGGAAUUCUCGGUGUAGCGGUGAAAUGCGUAGAUAUCGAGAGGAACACCUGCGGCGAAGGCGGGUUGCUGGGCUGACACUGACGCUGAGGAGCGAAAGCGUGGGGAGCGAACAGG
rnacentral:rRNA from 1 species